GUGGGGAAUCUUGCGCAAUGGGCGAAAGCCUGACGCAGCCAUGCCGCGUGAAUGAUGAAGGUCUUAGGAUUGUAAAAUUCUUUCACCGGGGACGAUAAUGACGGUACCCGGAGAAAAAGCCCCGGCUAACUUCGUUCCAGCAACCGCGGUAAUACGAAGUGAGCUAGCGUUGCGCGGAAUUACUGGGCGUAAAGGGCGCGUAGGCGGACAGUUUAGUCAGAGGUGAAAGCCCAGGGAUCAACCUUGGAAUUGACUUUGAUGCUGGCUGUCUUGAGUACGGUAGAGGUGAGUGGAACUCCGAGUGUAGAGGUGAAAUUCGUAGAUAUUCGGAAGAACACCAGUGGCGAAGGCGACUCACUGGCCCGUUACUGACGCUGAGGCGCGAAAGCGUGGGGAGCAAACAGGAUUAGAAACCCGUGUAGUCC
rnacentral:rRNA from 1 species